ACCUCGGAUCAGGUAGGAAUACCCGCUGAACUUAAGCAUAUCAAUAAGCGGAGGAAAAGAAACCAACAGGGAUUGCCCCAGUAACGGCGAGUGAAGCGGCAACAGCUCAAAUUUGAAAUCUGGCCCCUCGGGGUCCGAGUUGUAAUUUGUAGAGGAUGCUUUUGGUGAGGUGCCGCCCGAGUUCCCUGGAACGGGACGCCACAGAGGGUGAGAGCCCCGUCUGGCUGGCCACCGAGCCUCUGUAAAGCUCCUUCGACGAGUCGAGUAGUUUGGGAAUGCUGCUCAAAAUGGGAGGUAUAUGUCUUCUAAAGCUAAAUAUUGGCCAGAGACCGAUAGCGCACAAGUAGAGUGAUCGAAAGAUGAAAAGCACCUUGAAAAGAGGGUUAAAUAGUACGUGAAAUUGUUGAAAGGGAAGCGCUUGUGACCAGACUUGGGCGCGGCGGAUCAUCCGGGGUUCUCUCCGGUGCACUUCGCCGCGUCUAGGCCAGCAUCAGUUCGUCGCGGGGGAAAAAGGCUUCGGGAACGUGGCUCCUCCGGGAGUGUUAUAGCCCGUUGCAUAAUACCCUGCGGUGGACU
rnacentral:rRNA from 1 species